rnacentral:rRNA from 1 species
CAUGCAGGCGGAUCGCUAAGUCGGGGGUGAAAGCCCGAGGCUCAACCUCGGAACUGCCUUCGAUACUGGCGAUCUUGAGUCCGGGAGAGGUGAGUGGAACUCCGAGUGUAGAGGUGAAAUUCGUAGAUAUUCGGAAGAACACCAGUGGCGAAGGCGGCUCACUGGCCCGGUACUGACGCUGAGAUGCGAAAGCGUGGGGAGCAAACA